rnacentral:miRNA from 1 species
UCACUGGUUUUCUUCUGACGAA